rnacentral:rRNA from 1 species
GGCUAAGCUACGAAGGGCGUAUGGUGAAUGCCUAGGCAGUCAGAAGCGAUGAAGGACGUGGACAGCUGCGAUAAGCCAGGGGGAGCCGCUAACAGGCAAUAAUCCCUGGAUUUCCGAAUGGGGAAACCCUGUGGUGAUGAGCCACGAGCGUUUGGUGAAUACAUAGCCAGGCGCGGCGAACUCGGGGAACUGAAACAUCUAAGUACCCGAAGGAAAAGAAAGAAACCUCGAUUCUCCUAGUAGCGGCGAGCGAACGGGGAAGAGCCUAAACCUUAGGACGCAAGUCCUAAGGGGUCGUGGGGCCUGCGACAUGAGCGCGGGGCGUUAGAUGAACGGCAUGGAAUGGCCGGCCAGAGACGGUGACAGCCCGGUAGUUGAAAAUGCUCCAGACUCUAGCAGGUACCCGAGUAUCGCAGGACACGUGCAAUCCGGCGAGAAUCUGCGGGGACCAUCCCGUAAGGCUAAAUAUUACUGACUGACCGAUAGUGAACUAGUACCGCGAGGGAAAGGUGAAAAGCACCCCGGUAAGGGGAGUGAAAUAGUACCUGAAACCGUACGCCUACAAGCAGUGGGAGCACUAUGCCGACUUCGGUCGGAACGUGUGACCGCGUACCUUUUGCAUAAUGGGCCUGCGAGUUACGUUUCGUGGCGAGGUUAAGCCGAAAGGUGGAGCCGGAGCGAAAGCGAGUCCUAAAAGGGCGCUUAGUCGCGGGACGUAGACCCGAAACCUUAGCGAUCUAUCCAUGUCCAGGUUGAAGAGUUGGGUAACACCGCUUGGAGGACCGAACGCACCUUAGUUGAAAAUAAGGGCGAUGAGGUGUGGAUAGGAGUGAAAGGCUAAUCAAGCUGGGAGAUAGCUGGUUCUCCUCGAAAUAUAUUGAGGUAUAGCCUCGGACGAAUACCGCCGGAGGUAGAGC